rnacentral:rRNA from 1 species
GACGAACGCUGGCGGCGUGCCUAAUACAUGCAAGUAGAACGCUGAAGAGAGGAGCUUGCUCUUCUUGGAUGAGUUGCGAACGGGUGAGUAACGCGUAGGUAACCUGCCUGGUAGCGGGGGAUAACUAUUGGAAACGAUAGCUAAUACCGCAUAAAAUGGAUUAUCGCAUGAUAAUCCAUUGAAAGGUGCAAAUGCAUCACUACCAGAUGGACCUGCGUUGUAUUAGCUAGUUGGUGGGGUAACGGCUCACCAAGGCGACGAUACAUAGCCGACCUGAGAGGGUGAUCGGCCACACUGGGACUGAGACACGGCCCAGACUCCUACGGGAGGCAGCAGUAGGGAAUCUUCGGCAAUGGACGGAAGUCUGACCGAGCAACGCCGCGUGAGUGAAGAAGGUUUUCGGAUCGUAAAGCUCUGUUGUAAGAGAAGAACGAGUGUGAGAGUGGAAAGUUCACACUGUGACGGUAUCUUACCAGAAAGGGACGGCUAACUACGUGCCAGCAGCCGCGGUAAUACGUAGGUCCCGAGCGUUGUCCGGAUUUAUUGGGCGUAAAGCGAGCGCAGGCGGUUAGAUAAGUCUGAAGUUAAAGGCUGUGGCUUAACCAUAGUACGCUUUGGAAACUGUUUAACUUGAGUGCAAGAGGGGAGAGUGGAAUUCCAUGUGUAGCGGUGAAAUGCGUAGAUAUAUGGAGGAACACCGGUGGCGAAAGCGGCUCUCUGGCUUGUAACUGACGCUGAUGCUCGAAAGCGUGGGGAUCAAACAGG